UACGAAGGGUGCAAGCGUUAAUCGGAUUUACUGGGCGUAAAGCGCGCGUAGGUGGCCAAUUAAGUCAAAUGUGAAAUCCCCGAGCUUAACUUGGGAAUUGCAUUCGAUACUGGUUGGCUAGAGUAUGGGAGAGGAUGGUAGAAUUCCAGGUGUAGCGGUGAAAUGCGUAGAGAUCUGGAGGAAUACCGAUGGCGAAGGCAGCCAUCUGGCCUAAUACUGACACUGAGGUGCGAAAGCGUGGGGAGCAAACAGG
rnacentral:rRNA from 1 species